GUGGAAAUGGGCAUCCCGGUCUCGUCAUAGAGCUUCCUCUUCACUGUACUUUUAAUCUGGACCCUUCGGGAAGAGGAGACAAGAGCUACCUCUGAAAACAUCUCAUUGGACACGUCACCCAGACGCGAAUGGAGCAAAGUAGAGAGAUAAUGGGUAAGAGACCAAGACCUGGUAAGGAAUACAAUGAUAGAAGGCCAUUAGGAAUGAAAAGAGACGGUGGUGUCCUUACACGGUGCGUUCCUUGAUGACAGCGCUGAGGGAGUUCAGGUCAUCACCAAACCUCACCACGGCCGAUCUCAGCUGCCCAAUCUCAGUGUCCGUCCACUUAGCUCUGCAAUGAGACACAGGGCGUUUCAGAACCACUAGACUACAUUGCAGUCGCACUGCACAGAUCUACAAAUCACCUAGCAUCCUAAAUAACUACACAUUAUGAUUUUGUAGAUCAGUCUGGUCAGUUGGUGAUCAGCGAUUGAUGCCCUUGAACGCGGCCAGAGACGAAGAGAGGGUGGAGACGAAGAGAGAGUGUCGAGUGCUAUCAGGUAUUAAUGACGCAACAGCGUUUCCUCAGAUUGACUUCUUGCCGGGGAUAUUCAAGAUGGAGCACAUAUCAGUGUAAUGUGUACAGUGUGCUACAAGUGACACAAGCCCAAAAAUUACUAAGUCAUGAUCAGUAGACUUAUAAAUCAGACUAGACUUGGAACACUACAUAAUCGAUACAGAUAUUUAUCUCUAUCUGUAACUUGGUGUGUGUAUUCUCACCCUGCGGGACUGGAGUCAGCCACGGGGUGCAGUUGCAUGGUCAGCUCCCCUAACUUGGUAAAAGCAGCUCCUGCUGCUGAGAAGAUCUCCCCAACCUUGAAAAUUAAAGCAGAAAACGCCUAAAUCAAUACCUUUGAAUUAUCCUAUUUUCUUUUGAGACAGUAGCAAAGGUCUUUCCACAUUGUUACGUUACAGCCUUAUUCCUUAGUGUACACACAAUACCUAUCCCAUAAUGACAAAGCAAAAACAGGAUUAGACAUUUAUUUUUUAAUAAAUAAUCACAUUUAAAUAAGUAUUCAGACCCUUCACACAGUACUUUAUUAAAGCUCCUUUGGCAGCGAUUACAGCCAAGUCUUCUUGGGUUUGACGCUACAAGAUGUAUUUGAGUUUCUCCCAUUCUUCUUUGCAGAUCCUCUCAAGCUCUGUCAGGUUGAAUGGUGAGUGUUGCUGCACAGCUAUUUUCAGGACUCUCCAGAGAUGUUUGAUUGGGUUCAAGUCCAGGCUCUGGCUGGUUCCCUCAAGGACAUUCAGAGACUUGUCCCGAAGCCACUUCUGCGUCUUCGCUGUGUGCUUAGGGUUGUUGUCCUGUUGAAAGGUGAACCAUCACCCCAGUCAGAGGUCCUGAGCAGGUUUCCAUCAAGGAUCUCUCUGUACUUUGCUCUGUUCAUAUUUCCGUCGAUCAUGACUAGUCUCCCAGUCCCUGCCGCUGAAAAACACCCCCACAGCAUGAUGCUGCCACCACCGUGCUUCACCGUAGGGAUGGUGCCAGGUCUCCUUCAGGGGUGACGCUUGGGAUUCAGGCCAAAUAGUUCAAUCAUCAAACCAGAGAAUCCUGUUUCUCAUGGUUCGAGGGUCCGAGAGUCUUUUAGGUGCCUUUUGGCAAACUACAAGCGGGCUGUUGUGCCUUUUACUGAAGAGUGGCUUCCGUCUGGCCACUAACAUAAAGUCCUGGUAGAUCCAAACUAUUUCCAUUUAAGAAUGGAGGCCACUGUGUUCAUGGGGACCUUCAAUGCUGCAGAAAUGUUAGAGUACCAUUCCCCAGAUCUGUGCCGACACAAUCUUGUCUCUGAGCUCUACAUACAAUUCCUUCGAACUCAUGGCUUGGUUUCUGCUCUGACAUGCACGGUCAACUGUGGGAUCUUAUAUAGACAGGUGUGUGCCUUUCCAAAUCAUGUCCAAUCAAUUGAAUUUACCACAGGUGGACAUCAAUGAAGUUGUAGAAACAUCUCAAGGAUGAUCAAUGGAAACAGGAUGCACCCGAGGUCAAUUUCAAGUAUCAUAGCCAAGGGUCUGAUUACCUAUGUAAAUAAGAUGGGUUUCUUUUAAUUAAUUUUCUAACAUUUUUUUUUUAACUUAACGCUGUGUCAUUAUGGGUUAUUGUGUGUAGAUUGAUUUGAUCUAAUCCAUUUUAGAAUAAGGCUGUAAAGAAACCCAAAUGCACUGUAUGAUCAACUGUAUUACAAGGCAAUGCCAUGUUGAAAACUUUUACGGACUACAAAGGGAAACCCAGAUGCGAGCAGCCCAGUGACGGAGCCUACCAGACGAGCUAAAUGUCUUAUCCUCGCAUCGAGGCCAGCAACACUGAAGCAUGCACGAGUGCACCUGUGUGAUAACACUCUCGGUAGCCGAUGUGAGCAAAACCUUUAAAAACAGGUCAAGAUUCAAAGUCGUGGGGCCAGACGGAUUACCAGGACGUGCACUCAAACCAUGCGCAGACCAACUGUCAAGUGUCUACACUGACAUUUUCAACCCCUCCCUGACCGAGUCUACAAUACCUACAUGUUUCAAGCAGACCACCAUAGUCACUGUGUCCAAGGAAGCAAAGGUUACCUGCCUAAAUGAUUACCGCCCCGUAGCACUCACAUCGGUAGCCAUGAAGUGCUUUGAAAGGCUGAUCAUGGCUCACAUCAACAGCAUCCUCCCAGAUGCGCUAGACCCACUCCAAUUCGCAUACCGCCCAAGCAGACCCACAGAUUACGCAAUUUCAAUCGCACUCCACACUGCCCUUUCCCCCCUGGACAAAAGGAACACAUUCAAGAUCCUUGGUGUCCACAUCACCAACGAACUAUCAUUGUCCAAACACACCAAGACAGUAGGGAAGAGGGCACAACAAAACGUUUUCCCCCUCAGGAGACUGAAUAGAUUUGGCAUGAGCCAGAUCCUCAAAAGGUUCUUCAGCUGCACCAUUGAGAGCAUCCUGACCAGUUGCAUCACCGCCUGGUCUGGUAACUGCUUGGCAUCUGACCGUAAGGCGCUAGAGUGUAGUGCAUAUGGUCCAGUACAUCAAUGGGGCCAAGCUUCCUGCCAUCCAGGACCUAUAUAAUAGGCGGUGUCAGAGGAAAGCCCAUAAAAUUGUCAGACUCCAGUCAGACUUUUCUCUGCCACCGUACAUCAAGCAGUACCAGAGCACCAAGUCUAAGACAAAAAAGCUCCUUAAUACCCCCAAGCCAUAAGACUACUGAACAAUUAAUCAAAUUGUUUUGUACACUGCUGCUACUCACUGUUUAUUAUCUAUGCAUAGUCACUUCACCCCUACCUACAUGUACAAAUUACCUCAACUAACCCCCACACACUGACUCAGUACCGGUACCCCCUGUAUAUAGCAGCAUCGUUAUUGUUGUGUUGUUACUUUUUACUUUAGUUUGUUUUCUUAACUCUUCUUUAACGGUAAGGUCUACACUUGUAUUCGGCGAAUGUGACAAAUAAAGAUUGAUUUGAUGGCAUAAUAUCAAAACAGGAUUAGUCCAUUUUAUCCAGCAUUGUUGUUUUGUACGGUUGCAAUGCAGACUUAAUCUUUAUUUUAAGAGAUCAUUAAUGAGGGGUUUUCCUCCAUGCAGACAGCGCCUUCGUGUGGUAGCUUCCAUUAAAAGUACAUGGAAGUGAGAAAAAAGUUAAUGCAUGACAUUGACAACAUUCAGCCACGUCCUGGGUCCUUGACUUAUUAUAACACGAAUAAUGUUUUUUUCUUCCUUCAAAAGUUGAGUUGCCUGGUAUAGGACAGUAAAAUAAAAAUGUAUCUUUGGAAUAACCCAGGUGAGCUUAAAUAGCGGUUACAUGGCUGCCAUUCGAAUUCGCUUGUUAGCUGACGACGUUAGGUAGCUAACAUGAGCUAGAUUUGUGCAGGACCUAGCUAACAGCAAGAUAUACGGCUAAAAUCAAAACGUGAGAAUGACCUACCUUCGUUGAGGCUGAAGUCAUUUUUCUUUUUGUAGUUGCUGAACAGAUGCAGAUUUUCCUGUGAAUAACGCCGUUUAGAGAAGCUAGCUAAGCUUCAGGUUAGUUAGCCUGGUUGCACUGCAGGCUCAGCUGUUAAUACAAAUACUAACUUCGUCCACGUCCUACAAUAUUCAUAUUUUUGUUUGCAGUCCGCAACUGUUUUCGGUGAGCCUGUGAAUUGUAUUAACACGGAUCUUAUGUUUUUUUGUUGUUGCAAUAAUCAGAAAUGUGUAGCUAAAAAUAAAUGACAUACACAAA